CCCACACUUAUGUGUGUAGGGCCCUAAAGGAUCACCAUUGAAUUUGGCACAGAUUUUUAGAAAAGUUAUCACAUGGGUGUGGGACUUAAUUUUUUUAGAGAUUUGUGCCAAAUUUAAUGAUGAUGCUUUAGAAUCCUACACACAUGGGUGUGGG
rnacentral:pre_miRNA from 1 species